rnacentral:tRNA from 1 species
GGGCCUAUAGUUCAAUGGUAGAAUGGCGGUCUCCAAAACCGCUGAUCAAGGUUCGAAUCCUUGUGGGCCCGCCU